rnacentral:rRNA from 1 species
GUGGGGAAUCUUGCGCAAUGGGCGAAAGCCUGACGCAGCCAUGCCGCGUGGAUGAUGAAGGUCUUAGGAUUGUAAAAUCCUUUCACCGGGGACGAUAAUGACGGUACCCGGAGAAGAAGCCCCGGCUAACUUCGUGCCAGCAGCCGCGGUAAUACGAAGGGGGCUAGCGUUGCUCGGAAUUACUGGGCGUAAAGGGCGCGUAGGCGGAUCGUUAAGUCAGGGGUGAAAUCCCAGAGCUCAACUCUGGAACUGCCCUUGAUACUGGCGAUCUUGAGUGUGAGAGAGGUAUGUGGAACUCCGAGUGUAGAGGUGAAAUUCGUAGAUAUUCGGAAGAACACCAGUGGCGAAGGCGACAUACUGGCUCAUUACUGACGCUGAGGCGCGAAAGCGUGGGGAGCAAACAGGAUUAGAUACCCUGGUAGUCC